UGUGUUGCUAGAGAGGUGUUGCAAGUGUAGCUGCUAUGUCACAUGUGUGCCAGUAGGUGGCAGAGAGGAGAGAGGCUACGCCUAUGCUCAGUGUUCUAAACAUCUAAAUGAUUAGCAGCCUAACAUU